UGAGGAAUAUUGGUCAAUGGACGCAAGUCUGAACCAGCCAAGUAGCGUGCAGGAUGACGGCCCUAUGGGUUGUAAACUGCUUUUAUAUGGGGAUAAAGUGGGGAACGUGUUCCCUUUUGCAGGUACCAGAUGAAUAAGGACCGGCUAAUUCCGUGCCAGCAGCCGCGGUAAUACGGAAGGUCCGGGCGUUAUCCGGAUUUAUUGGGUUUAAAGGGAGCGUAGGCUGUCUAUUAAGCGUGUUGUGAAAUAUACCGGCUCAACCGGUGGCUUGCAGCGCGAACUGGUCGACUUGAGUAUGCAGGAAGUAGGCGGAAUUCAUGGUGUAGCGGUGAAAUGCUUAGAUAUCAUGACGAACUCCGAUUGCGCAGGCAGCUUACUGUAGCAUAACUGACGCUGAUGCUCGAAAGUGCGGGUAUCAAACAGG
rnacentral:rRNA from 1 species